AGGCUCAGCCUUGGAACAUGGUGGGGUGACAUCUACGGAGAAGUCUCACCUGGCACUGGAAAAGCCCAUCCUACUGGGCCAGGGACCAGUACUUCCUGCGCCCCCCUACAACCAGCAGCCACCCUGGGCUGGACUCACCAAGGUGACCCAGGAAGUCUCUCCACCGUGGGCUCCAAUUAUGUACAGGAUGAUCAAGGUGGUGGUGGCCACGAAGCAGAACACAGACACGAACAUCACCCAGCCCUGGACCAGGGGCCAGGGCACCAGGGAGGAGGCCACCAGGAUCCACACCAGGCCCCCGAAGAUCUGCGGGGGAGGAGGAGGGGUGAGUUUUGGCCUAGAGGAGAGCCCCAGCCCAGGAAGGGCCCCCGACCAGCGGUCACAUGGGGUGACUGGAGUGCAAAAACACAGGAAGCAGGCAAAGAGAACAGGGCAGGCAUUUUCCUCUGCAAAAAUGCAUCUUUAGUCCCCCCAGGGCCCUGUGCUGGAUCUCAAUCCCAAUCCCCGGCACGCUUGCCCUGAUUAACUUUUUAAAACUUUUUUUUCUUGAGACAGAGUCUUGCUCUGUCACCCAGGCGUGAGUACAGUGGCGUGUGGCUCACUGCAACCUCUGCCUCCUGGGUUCAAGUGAUUCUCAUGCCUCAGCUUCCUGAGUAGCUGGGAUUACAGGUGCAUGCCACCAUGCCCAGCUAAUUUUUCUAUUUUUGGUAGAGACGGGGUUUCACCAUGUUGGCCAGGCUGGUCUUGAACUCCUGACCUCAGGUGAUCUGCCCUCCUCAGCCUCCCAAAGGGUUGGGAUUACAGGCGUGAGCCACUGCACCUGGCCUGAGUAACUUUUUAAAUAUGGGUUUAAUUUUUUUAUUUAACAAACACUUAUAUCAGACCUACAUUCCAGGCACUAUCCUAAGCACUUUACAAAUAAUAACUCAGUGAUUCUCACAGUAACCCUCUGAGCAAUGCUGACCUGUUUGCCAGAUGAGGAAACUGAGGUAGGUGGAAGUUAAGUAAUUCAUCAUUCUGAGAAAGGAUUUAUGCCAUUUGGUAUUGUCAUGAGAAGAGCUGCUAUUUCUUCUGAUAUUCUAGCCCUCCUACUUGCUUUGAUAUUAAAAUGUCCUUUCCUUUAUGCAAUGGUAGUGACCAGCAGAUCUUUUUGGUCUUUAUUUGGCAAAACAAAUUAACCACACUGUCAGUAGUCCCCUGCCCUGCCCUUCCUUUCUUUCUCUCUCUCUCUUUCCUUCAUUUCUUCUUCCCUCCCUCCCUCUCCUUCCUUCCUUCUUUUUCUUUCUUUCUUUCUUCUUUCUUUCUUUCUUUUUUCUCUUUCUUUCUUUCUCUUUCUCUCUUUCUUUCUCUCUCUUUCUCUCUCUCUCUUUCUUUUCUCUCUCUCUCUCCCUUUCUCUUUCUCUCUCUCUCUCCCUUUCUCUUUCUCUCUCUUUCUUUCUCUUGCUCAUUAUUUCUUUUUCUGGAUUCAACUGUUUAUAUUCCCAAGUCCAGGAAGUGUUCUGAUGAUCAGAUUUGGAGUUGGAAUGGAGUAACCAAGGACAGCCUUGUCUCUUUGGAUGGCUGAGGAUGGGCAUGAGGAAAGUACAGUCCCGUGGUUAUCCAGAAUACACCCCAGUUGAUGUCGCCAGGGUCAGUGAGCCCCAUACAGUCAAAGAGGAGCAGACAUGGGGGCCAGUAGCACCCCUCAGUAGCCCAGCCCCGCUCCUCGCCGUGGAUGGACACAUACAAACCCGCUCCCCACCGCGGAUGGGUACGUACAAACUCCGUUCCUCACUGUGGACAGGCGUGUACAAACCCCAGCGGGGACUUUCUGCACUUCUCUUUCCCUUCUCCUCAUCUCCCCCAGCGCCACCCCCACCCAGUAAGAAUCAGCUCAGCCUCAUCCACAUGUUCCCCACUUGGAUGAGGACUGGGCUCGAAGCACUCCAGGCCUAUGUGGAGAUUCCUUUGCAGCCAAAAGUCUCCAAGGUACUACAGAAGUGUCUGGGGGGCUGAGGAUGGGGCUGCCCUCCCAGGCCUAUGUCCCCUGUGGUUUGAAUUCACAUAGCACCUUGACCCCCCCACCUCCCUGCACCUGCUGCCCACCUGCUGGGUGAGAGAUACCGCUGUCUUCACAGGUGUUCUCUGAGCUGCUUGACUGAGAAGCAAUCAGGAGAGAAUUGCAUUUGGGUAGAAAAAUCAGUGCAAUGAAGACUUUGGAUUUAUUAAAACCAAGUUGUCCCUAAGGAAUCAGAUGUGGGCAUCUCUGACCAGAAAGCGUCCUCUGCUGAUGGAUCUUAGGUUGCCUGAAGGCACGUGGCAGGGCCGGUGGGAUGCACUGUGCAUCUUACAAAAAUGGGAGCAAAAUCAAUUAAAUAAAAAUGCCCAGACCACCAUGG
rnacentral:lncRNA from 1 species